rnacentral:misc_RNA from 1 species
GAUGAAGAACGUAGCGAAAUGCGAUAAGUAGUGUGAAUUGCAGAAUUCCGUGAGUCAUCGAAUCUUUGAACGCACAUUGCGCCCUCUGGUAUUCCGGAGGGCAUGCCUGUUCGAGCGUCAUUAUCACCCCUCAAGCCCGGCUUGUUGUUGGAUGCAGCGCUUAUCCCGCUCCUCCCAAAGAUAAUGACGGCGUCUGCGACGACUCCUGUACACUGAGCUUUCGGGCACGUACACGGCUAGAAGUCCAGACCCGGUCGCCGUCCCCCCCGCGGGGACACCCAUUACCACAAGGUUGACCUCGGAUCAGGUAGGAAUACCCGCUGAACUUAAGCAUAUCAAUAAGCGGAGGA